UACGAAGGGGGCUAGCGUUGCUCGGAAUGACUGGGCGUAAAGGGCGCGUAGGCGGUUUGUACAGUCAGGUGUGAAAUGCCCGGGCUCAACCCUGGGGGCGGCACUUGAUACGUAUGGACUGGAGUGGGGAAGAGGGUCGUGGAAUUCCCAGUGUAGAGGUGAAAUUCGUAGAUAUUGGGAAGAACACCGGUGGCGAAGGCGGCUCACUGGCUCAUUUCUGACGCUCAGGCGCGACAGCGUGGGGAUCAAACAGG
rnacentral:rRNA from 1 species